GGCGGCAUAGCCAAGCGGUAAGGCACAGGUCUGCAAAACCUCGAUUCCCCGGUUCAAAUCCGGGUGCCGCCUCCA
rnacentral:tRNA from 2 species